rnacentral:lncRNA from 1 species
GUGAGACACUUCUGCUCCGGGAAAGGUAGGAGCAUUUGUACAAUCUUUCCAGUAUAGGGGAAGGGGGACAUGGGAGUAGAAGUUGGAUUGUUGAGUCACGAAGCAAAUAGGUGUCUUUUUAUUCUAAUUAACUUGAGAAAGAAAGAAUUUGGUAUUAUAUCAACCCAGCACUUAAACUUUUUACCUUCAUUGUAUAAAAACUGUUUGUGAAAAUUGUGCCACUAUGACUUACUUUUUGAUACGGAUAAUGGAGCAUUCUCUAAAGGGAGCAGAUGGAAUGAUGAGGAGGUUCAGAGUAGUGUCAAUCAUCAGGAAAGAGGGUGGCCCUGUUGGCCUGGGGGUGAGGGGAGAGGCUCUGACAAAGGUGCUCAGUCCCCAGCCAGGCUGCAUGUGGUUCUUGUCUACCUGGGUCCACCUGAAAAGACACUACCAGAUUGAUUUGGGGUGUAUCCUGGGCAGUGAGACUUUUGAAAGUGCAUUGGUUGAUUCUAAUGCACAAUCCAGUUGAGAACCACUGUUGAGGGAGCAGGGUGCCUGAAUCAUGAAAUAAAAAGAGGCUUUUUAUGGGAAAGGCUCUCUAUCUCUCUUCUUUAACACCAGGAAAGGAGCUGUAUUAGUGAUAGGAAGUGAUGGGGAAGCCAAUGGGGGCUCAAAAGAAAGAAAGCUUUGAUGCUUGGUACUGAAAUGGAAGUGGCGUGGUAAGUGGAGGAGCCCCUGAUGCUGGAAAUGAUCAAGGAGAAGGUGGACAACCAUUGACUGGGAAGGCUGAACUAGCCCAGUGAUGGCUAGAUAGUGUCAGGAGGACCAGAAGCAACCUCAAGUCCCUUCCCCUUCACUCAGGGCAGCUCAGUUUUCUCUCUUUUUCUGUAUUGGUUUGGGUUUCCCCAUAAAGAUUUCCUUUGAAGAAAGAGUCUGCUCAAAAAAACUUUUAAAACCACAUAACUAGUUGACCUUUAUGGCUAUUACCAAUCUGAAGUUCUGUAGCAUUAAAUCUUCUUUGAUGUUUUCUAAGAAACCAGGCUACUGAUUGAUCCAUUCUUCCAAAGGCCAAGGGGGAAAGGAAGGAGAGCUUACAAGGGUGGAAAGCAUGAGUAGAAGAGGGGAGACUUCUCUUAGCUGAGGGCCAGGGCAGGAGCCCUUAACCCUGUCUAGGCUUGGAACCACCUGGGAACUUUUCAGUAAGACACCCUCCCAAAGCAGUGAUAUCAGUCUCUGGGGAUGGUGCCUGGGCGUGGGUAUUCAUGAAAUGCAGCAGAGUUGAGAACCACUGGCUUAAUAGAUGGGCACUGAGGAGAACUCUUUUUAUACAUUGAGGCCAAACAUGUUAGACAACCACGAACACGGCAGUUCUUAAACUUCAGCUGCAUCAGAAUCACCUAGGCUUGUUCAGACAGAUCACUGGGCUCCACCCCCAGAGUUUCUGAUUUAGUAGGCCUGUGAUAAAGCCAAGAAUUUGCAUUUUUAACAAGUUCCAGGUGAUGCUGACACUGCUGAUCUGGGGGACCACACUUUGAGAACCACUGCUUUAACAAUAGGAAUUUACUUUUGACCUUAAAAACAACUCCCUAACAUUGGCAAGCGAUUGAUAGUGUGCACCCUUGAUGAUAUGAUAUAAUGAGAAUGGCACUUUGCCUCUGUGGUCUCCCUCCCAUUAAAUGCAUUAACUCAGUCUAAUCAUGAGUAAAACAUCAGACAAAACCCAAUGGAAGGACAUUCUACAACAUACCUGACCAGUAAUCCUCAAAACUAUCAAGGUCAGCAAAGCCAAGGAAAGUCUAAGAAACUGCCACAGCUAAGAGGAGCCUAAGGAGACAUGACUACUAAAUACAAUGUGGUAUCCUGCAUGGAAUCCUGGAAUAGAAAAAGCACAUUAGGGGCAGGGCACGGUGACUCACACCUGUAAUCCCAGCACUUUAGGAGGCUGAGGCAAGCAGAUCACUUGAGGUAAGGAGUUUGAAACCAGCCUGGCCAAGAUGGUGAAACCCCAUCUCUGCUAAAAAUACGAAAAUUAGCUGGGUGUAUUGGCGGGCGCCUGUGAUCCCAGCUACUUGGGAGGCUGAGGCAGAAGAAUCACUUAAACCCAGGAGGUGGAGGCUGCAGUGAGCCGAGAUCGUGCCACUGCACUCCAGCCUGGGCAACAGAGUGAGACUCCAUCUCAAAAAAGAAAAAGGAAAAAAGACAUUAGGGAAAAGCUGAGGAAAUAAUGUAUCAAUACUGAUUCAUUGGUCAUGACAAAGGUACCAUAUUAAUGUAAUAUGUUAACAAUAGGGGAAACUCAGUAUUAGGUAGGGAGCGCUCUGUACCAUUACUGCACUAAUUACAUUACUGCACUAAUUACAUUAAUUCUGUAAUUUUAAAACCAUUCUAAGAUAAGCAGUUUAUUUGAAAAAAAAAAAAAAAAAAAAAAAAAAAAAAGAACUUCCUGACUGCUGAAAUACAGACCGUUCCUGAUUGUGGUUAUGGAGGAGGUGUCUUCAAAAGCAUCAAGGAAAAAAUAUCAAAUAAUUGUAUUUGUUUGACUGAAGACUUAUCUGGAUACAGGAGGUGAGUUACAUAACAUACCUUUAUCUCUUUUUCUAUGUGCUUGUGUGACUCAGAUGAUUGUGUGACUUUGAAAUAAUUUUUAAGGGCUAUACUUUAUAUAUACAUAUAGCAUAUAGAUAUUAUACAUAAUACAAAUAUAAUAUACAUAUGUAUAUCAGCAUACUUACAGCUGGUAUGAAAGAUAAGGUAGCUAGCUGAUGCCUCUCAGUUUAUUAGGAUGCAGCCAUGCAGUGGGAAUACAAUUUUAAUUAGAAAAGGUACCUGCUGUAAUGACUUAAUAUUCUUGGUAGAAAUUUUCAACCUUUUGAUUAGGCCUAUCUGGAAACCAUCACAAUGGUGGUCUUUCUUUCUCUCUCUUCUUUUGUUUUGCAGUUCCAAGAGAACCUGCUUCAGGUGGUCUAAAUGAAAUAGAGUCCAAGUCCCAUGCUUACGUAAUAUUUAGCUGCUGGUUUAUAGUUAUGGAUGACCUUAUUUCAUUGGCUUCAAGAGUGCAUUUCAUAAAAUUCCUCACUUAUUGAUUCAGGUUUUUUUGUUUUGUUUUGUUUUGUUUUGUUUUGUUUUUGAGACGAAGUCUUGCUCUGUCGCCCAGGCUGGGGUGCAGUGGCACAAUCUCGGCUCACUGCAAGCUCCGCCUCCCGGGUUCACGCCAUUCUCCUGCCUCAGCCUCCCGAGUAGCUGGGACUACAGGCACCUGCCACCAUGCGGGGCUAAUUUUUUGUAUUUUUAGUAGAGACCGGGUUUCACCAUGUUAGCCAGGAUGGUCUCAAUCUCCUGUCCUUGUGAUCCGCCCGCCUUGGGCUCCCAAAGUGCUGGGAUUACAGGCAUGAGCCACCGUGCCUGGCCUGAUUCAAGUUUGAAUAUAUCCGUGGAGCACUGUGUGCUCACGGCAGAUGAGGGUAGAGGUGAGAAGACCCAACAACUCUUUGGAUAUCCACGUGUUAACCAGCCAGGCAUUUACAUUGUUUCCCUAACUUGGCUUCAGUUCCCCUCAGCCUUUUGAGUGUUGGUCGCUGAUCGUGGUUAUGGAGGAGGUGUCUUCAAAAGCAUCAAGGAAAAAAUAUCAAAUAUUUUGAUAUUUGAUAUCAAAUAUCAAAAUUUGCCAUGGUGCCCAGCAUGGUUCAAGAUCAUAAGUGUCAAGCACAUCAGGGCAAGAAUCUUCUGUUCCAUAUGCAACAUCUUCUGGCAGCCUUGUCCUUUUUCUGUCCUUGACGACUACAAUAACAAACAGCUGUUGCCGAGGCAUUGCUGUUGACGUGUUACCUUUGAAACCUCCCUCCUGUUAUGGAAUAAGCCUCUUCCAGAUCAUGGCUCAUUAUCAUCUAGUCUGACAAGCAGCCUUGUUGCCACGGAGACCCAAAGGGAUCAGGCGUGGCAUUUGCCUGCAUCAUCACCCCCUCCAGGGGAACUAUAAGGACUCUUCUGUGCGUCAUGCGUGGCUGUCCUGGGACUGGCUGCCACCAGACUUUUCCUGCGGGUAAAACCUAAACAAAUGAUCAGCUGCAGAUAAUAUCAAGACCUCUGUUUGAUAUGUUAAUAGUGACAGCCAGAUUUCCACAAUUAACAACGAGGUGGGAAGAAAACACUGUAGUCACCAGACUUGGGAGGAGAGGGUUUGUAUUCACAUAAACACAACCUCACGUCACUGCUUGCCACCACAAAGGGCUCUGUUCACUGUUUUGUUCUCAAAGAUCAUCCUUGCGCUCAUCCUCUGAUCUUGAAUUUCUACAUAACUUUCUCAGUUUAUAUGCCCUGUGGCAAGUGCAGCAAGCACUGUUUCCUGUUUCUAAACUUGUAGAAAAUCAUCCAUACAUCUUACAGUUGUCAGUUUUAACCAGAUAACAGUGGCACUUUGUUGCUGCUUUUUUAUCUUUAGCUUAGGUUAACAGGACCCUGGAAGUAAAGUUGUUGAUUUAUUCAAUAGAGUAUUCUCAAUUAAUUUGGCUAGAUUUCUACAUGAUUCAAAAUCUAAAAAAGUAGAAAUGCAUGCUUACAUGUCUAAGGCCUGAAAAAUUGGUAGUGACAUCCCAAAAUAAAUGAAGGUUUUAAAACAAUAAAUGAUCUCUUUUUUUUUUUUUGCUUCUGUGCUUGGGGAGAAGCAAUGAAGGAAACAACAAUGUUGCUUUAAGGAGUGAGGACCCCAAAAAUAAGAAUAUAUAAUUAUGACAGAUAGGGCAUAGGGCGUUGUUCAGAAUUGAUGGGGCUGGUGCACACACAAACAUUUUAAUAGUUCUAAUACUUUGUGUACACUCUUGCGAUGAAGUGAUGACUUCAUUAAUUGAUUGAAUAAUAUUUAUGCAAUGCUACUAUGUGCUAGCUAUAGAACUAAGCUUAGUCUCUUAAGAUCUUAACAUUCUGAAACUAUUAAAAUGUAUAAUCACCAUUUGUAAAAGUAAAUAUACUAAUCUAAUAAUUUGGAAUGUACAUUACAGUAAAAAAAAAGCAGGGGAACAUCCUGUAAAAUGUCACUCAGAGAUAACCACCACUUACAGAGUGAAGUAUAUUCCUGCUUUUUGCGGAUAGUGUGUGCGUAUAUAUGUUUAAGCAAAGCUAACAAUAUACUAUUUUUAUAAUUGGCAUUUACUUUUUCUUUUGCUUAACUUUAUAUCAUAACCUCUUUCCCACAUCAUUACAAACUCUUCAUAAAUAAUCUUACAAAUGGUUAUGUAAUAUUUAUCUUAUUUGUAACACAUACUAUCUUCUUUUUUUCAUCAACACACUGCAUGGAUAACAGAUUUAUUUUUUAAGUCAAAAAUCUUUCUUGGCUACACUAACCAAUGUUUUUGGUUUUUGUUUUGUUUUGUUUUGUUUUGAGACAGAGUCUCACUCUGUCUCCCAGGCUGGAGUGCAGUGGUGUGACCUCGGCUCACUGCAACCUCCGCCUCCUGGGUUGAAGCGAUUCUUCUGCCUCAGCCUCGCAAGUAGCUGGGAUUACAGGCAUGUGUCACCAUGCCUGGCUAAUUUUUGUAUUUUUAGUAGAGAUGGGGUUUCACCAUGUUGAUCAGGCUGGUCUCAAACUCCUGACCUCAAGUGAUCCACCCUCCACGGCCUCCCAGAGUGCUGGGAUUAUAGGUGUGAACCACCACGCCUGGCCACUAACCAAUGUUCCUUAGAAAAGUUAACCUCAUUUGUGUUUGGGGAUGUCACUCCCGUUCUCUUGGAGAUACAAGUGCACACACACCACAACCCUUGGAGCCUGACAGGCCCAGACCAUAGAUGUGUGUCCAACACGAUGACCUUUCCUCAUUCCCUUGUGGGUCCUCCUGAUGGGCCAGGUCUUCAUGUUUUUACUGAUGAAUUCAAGACCCAGCACUUCGGAUUCAGUGUCCCUCAACACUGCCACAUAGCCAUCCUCCCAUGUGCUUCCUGGUGGUGGGUCACUCCCUAACACCAUUAUGAGCACCUAAUAUGUGUCAAACACUGAUCUAGAACAGAAACCAAACACAAGACAAAUAAAAUUCUUUUUUUUUUUUUUUUGAGAGAGAGUCUCGCUCUGUCACCCAGGCUGGAGUGCAGUGGUGCAAUCUUGGCUCACUACUACAACCUCCGCCUGCCAGGCUCAAGAAAUCCUCUCACAUCAGCCUCCCAAGUAGCUGGGACCACAGAUGUGCACCACCAUGUCCAACUAAAUUUUUGUACUUUUGGUAGAGAUGGGAUUUCACCACAUUGGCCAGGCUGGUCUCGAACUCCUGGCCUAGGGUGAUCCUCGGCCUCCCAAAGUGCUGGGAUUACAGGUGUGAGCCACCACACCCAUCUGCAAGGCAGAUAUAAUUCUUACCCUUGCAGAACUUACAGUCUUGGAGGAGAUAAGCAUUUAAUCAAGUAAUUAUGACAUUUGCUACAAGAGUUCAUAGCAGAGGGGACUUAACCAGCGUAGGUGACAUUUAAACUAAAAAUGUGAAAAACCUGUGAAAUUAAUCAGAAGAAGAGGAGGAAAGCAACUCCACUGUGUUUCCUGCUAGGUCUCAUCUUCCCAACAGAUGCUUGGACUCUCUUCAUCGCCACUUUGAAAUAUGAGGACACUCUUAAUUUAGGUCAAAUUUUUUUCCUCCUGGACUUGCAAUAUGUUGUUUCCUUUUUCUGGAACACAUUAUGAUACUUCCUUGAAACGGCAAGAUUCUUUUAUUCCCAUUGUUUCUGCUUCUUGAAGUAUUAAUCAGAAUAUUUCAUCUGCCAUCCCCUUCUGCUUACUUUCACAUAGUUUUCAGGAGUUAGUUUAAAUGUCACCCCCCUCUGGUUAGGUGCCUCUGCUAUGCAUUCCUGUAACAAGUGUAAUAAUUACUUAAUUCAAUGUAUAUCUCCUCCCAACCUGCAGUUCCUCCCAGUAUUGGAAGGAUAAGAAUCAUAACUGGUUUGUGUUUGGUGUCUGUUCUAGCUCAUUGUUUGACACAUAUUAGGUGCUCAAAAAAUAUUGAAAUGAAUAGUAGGCAUUUAGGGUGUUCCGUUUUUUUUUUAAUAAGCAAUGAUGAAAUGAACAUCUUUUAUGCAUGAUGUCCAUAUUUUGGAAUUUUUAAAUUACUUUCUGAUGAUAAGUUCUUGGAAGCAGAAUUACUAGGUCAAAGGAUACAAACCCUUAGAGUCCUCUUGGGAAACAGCACAUUGCUUUCCAGAAAGUUUUAUACUCCUGCAAGCAGUUUAUGAGAUUUCCUGUUUCAUUGUGCUCUUAUCAACAUGAUUAGGCAAAGAAAUUAUUUUUGCUAACUUGAUAGUAAGAAAAAUUACUCUACUACUGUUUCAAUUUUGCCUUUGUUAAGUAACAAGAUGAACAUUUUCCAUCUGUUUUUUAUUUAUUUAUAUUUGCUGUAUUGUGAGUUGUCUUGUGUCCUUUGUCCAUUUCUAUUCUGAAAUCUUCAUGUUUUUCGAAUCAAUUUUUAUAAGCUCUAUGUUUCAGAAGAUAUUAGAUGAUUAUCUCUUAUUUUUUACUGUAGAUCUUUCUAUGUAGAUGUUUGUAUUUUAGUCUGUGCCCUUCUUAAUGUUCAGAAGUUUACCAUUUUUCUGUGGUCAGGUCUGUUAUCAUUUCCCAUGGGAUUUCUUACAUGACAAACUCACAGUGCUCUUCAACAGCAGUGAUUAAAUAAAUAUUCAGCUAUUUUUGGCAUGUAUACAGUUUUAUUUCUUUGCCUAUGUGUGUGUGUGUGCACGUGUGGUGUGUGUGUGUGCAUGUGCGUGUACUUGUGUAUGUGCAUUUAUGUGCACAUGUACUUGAGUCUCAUCCACUGAUAAUUUAAUUUGUCAUUUGGCAGGAGGGGAG